AUGAAGAGAUUAGUUGAGAGAACUAUGACACAAGCAGGUUCCACUUUGAAGAACACAAGCCUCCUUCACGAGAAAGCAAGAGUCUCGCUGAAUCACACUAGAAGCUCAGACUAGUUCAAAAAUGGUGCAAGUUUCAGGACAAGAUCAUCUACAAGUGUAUCAAAGCCGUCGAUAACAUGCAGAAGGCCCUCAGCUGCACAUCAUCAA
rnacentral:pre_miRNA from 1 species